rnacentral:rRNA from 2 species
GAGCGGCGGACGGGUGAGUAAUGCCUAGGAAAUUGCCCUGAUGUGGGGGAUAACCAUUGGAAACGAUGGCUAAUACCGCAUAAUGCCUACGGGCCAAAGAGGGGGACCUUCGGGCCUCUCGCGUCAGGAUAUGCCUAGGUGGGAUUAGCUAGUUGGUGAGGUAAUGGCUCACCAAGGCGACGAUCCCUAGCUGGUCUGAGAGGAUGAUCAGCCACACUGGAACUGAGACACGGUCCAGACUCCUACGGGAGGCAGCAGUGGGGAAUAUUGCACAAUGGGCGCAAGCCUGAUGCAGCCAUGCCGCGUGUGUGAAGAAGGCCUUCGGGUUGUAAAGCACUUUCAGUCGUGAGGAAGGUGGUGUAGUUAAUAGCUGUAUUAUUUGACGUUAGCGACAGAAGAAGCACCGGCUAACUCCGUGCCAGCAGCCGCGGUAAUACGGAGGGUGCGAGCGUUAAUCGGAAUUACUGGGCGUAAAGCGCAUGCAGGUGGUUUGUUAAGUCAGAUGUGAAAGCCCGGGGCUCAACCUCGGAAUAGCAUUUGAAACUGGCAGACUAGAGUACUGUAGAGGGGGGUAGAAUUUCAGGUGUAGCGGUGAAAUGCGUAGAGAUCUGAAGGAAUACCGGUGGCGAAGGCGGCCCCCUGGACAGAUACUGACACUCAGAUGCGAAAGCGUGGGGAGCAAACAGGAUUAGAUACCCUGGUAGUCCACGCCGUAAACGAUGUCUACUUGGAGGUUGUGGCCUUGAGCCGUGGCUUUCGGAGCUAACGCGUUAAGUAGACCGCCUGGGGAGUACGGUCGCAAGAUUAAAACUCAAAUGAAUUGACGGGGGCCCGCACAAGCGGUGGAGCAUGUGGUUUAAUUCGAUGCAACGCGAAGAACCUUACCUACUCUUGACAUCCAGAGAACUUUCCAGAGAUGGAUUGGUGCCUUCGGGAACUCUGAGACAGGUGCUGCAUGGCUGUCGUCAGCUCGUGUUGUGAAAUGUUGGGUUAAGUCCCGCAACGAGCGCAACCCUUAUCCUUGUUUGCCAGCGAGUAAUGUCGGGAACUCCAGGGAGACUGCCGGUGAUAAACCGGAGGAAGGUGGGGACGACGUCAAGUCAUCAUGGCCCUUACGAGUAGGGCUACACACGUGCUACAAUGGCGCAUACAGAGGGCAGCAAGCUAGCGAUAGUGAGCGAAUCCCAAAAAGUGCGUCGUAGUCCGGAUUGGAGUCUGCAACUCGACUCCAUGAAGUCGGAAUCGCUAGUAAUCGUGGAUCAGAAUGCCACGGUGAAUACGUUCCCGGGCCUUGUACACACCGCCCGUCACACCAUGGGAGUGGG